GACCAAGAAACAAAAGCCAUGAACUGAUACCUCUAAACCCAGGAGCCGAAAUAAACCUUUCUUCUUUUAAGUUGAUUUUCUCUGAUAUUUUGUCACAGGCCCAAAAGUCUUACUAGCACAGAGACAAAAGCUUCAGUGUGAACUUGGCUGCUGCUAGGGCCUGGGAGACUUGCAGUUGAAAUGUGCUGGGCUAUUUCCCUCCACUGCAUGCUGCAGCCUCUCUGAGCUGGUUGCCACAUCCAGAGAUCAUGCUCACAAUUCUUGAGAAGAACAAAUGAGUAACCUGGCAGGAGUUAAGAAAACUUUAAAAGCACAGUCACUCCCUCCACAGUUGGAUUUCUAGGGAUCUCACCCAAGACUCAAAAAUACACAAUCACUAGAGCCUGCUGAGUCCCCACAAAUUGGGCAACCUGUACGUUGACUCUGCUGUAUCCUGAUGUGCUGUCAUCUCUGCAUCACUGUGCCUCUGCCCACAGAAAGACAGCUGUGAGGAAUUAGGAGAGAAUGAACUCGCAGGAAUGGCAUUGCUGCAAAAUACAAGAAGAAAUUUUGCAAGAAUCUGGAAGGACAGCCACAGAGCCGAGUGCUCCUCUGGCAGAGGGAUGAGAACAGUGCUUCAGCCUUUCUCUGAGGGCCCAGCGAUGUCCCCACACAGGAAUCUUGAGAACAUGGUGAUGGUGCACAUCCCCAGUCUGCUGGAUGUGCACCAGUGCUUUUUGCAUAGACAAGAGUUAGAUUUUGGUACACUCCUUCCCAGAGAACUAACUUCUGCCUUUUGUGGGUGAUACUAUCCCUGUCAAAAAUGUCCAGGUGAAAAGAAGCAGGUAUUAGUUUUUUCUCUUAUUAUUAUUUGUUUCUUGGUUGUUUUAAAAAUUGGUAGUGAAUACUUAUAUAGAACUGAGCAUAUGUCAGACACUAUUCCAAGCACAUCUUAAAUCAUUUAAAUAUUUCAUCCAUAGCUUACAAGAGAGGUAGUAUGUUGUCCCCAGCCCCCCACCCUCCUCUCCUCACCUCACCCCAUGUUAAAUGGAAUGACAAGGCAGAUCACCUCAUUUUACCUAUGAGGACAUGUGCACCACGCAAGUUAAGUAACUUGCUCCAAGUCACACAGCUAGUAAGUGGUGGCACCAAGGUUCAAAACAGCAGCCUGGAUUCAAAGCUGAUGUUUUGGAUGAAAUCUAACAGUCUGCUACAGCUGCAACUGAAGAAAACAAGAAGAAGUUUCCUGUGGCUGAUCAGUUUUUGGACGGCACGAAGACCAACUCAGAAAGACUCACUUGUGAAAGGAAGAGCAAAGAUGAACUUGGAGACAGAAAGAAAGGACAGCGCCAACACUUCACGGGGCCUCAGUCUGAGUUAAUUUAUUCAUCUGAGUUGAGUUAAGGCUCUCUCUAUGCAAGAUCUGGGUACCUGGAGCAAAAUAAAGAAGCAAAACUGUUCUGCUUUGUCCUGAG
rnacentral:lncRNA from 1 species